GGCAGGAUGGCCGAGCGGUCUAAGGCGCUGCGUUCAAGAUAAAAUCUUUCCAAAAACAAUUUGGAUUUGCAGUUUCGAAAGAAGCGUGGGUUCGAAUCCCACUCCUGUCA